GGGCUGAAGGGAGAUGUAAGGGCUUGGUGGGAAAUAAAUGGCACUGUGUUGUUGACGGAAAAAGAUCUUGGCAGGACUGUUGUUGUGAGUGUUCUGUGGCUUAGAAAGGAAUUUCCUACAGGCUGGACUAACCAUUAAAAAUGUCUCUACCUUCAGGAGUCCCCGGCGUGCAGUGGAGCCUCGCUGGGGGAAAUGACAGCUUGGACCAUGGGCGCCCGCGGUCUGGACAAGCGAGGAAGUUUCUUUAAGCUCAUUGACACAAUUGCCUCGGAGAUCGGAGAACUGAAACAGGAGAUGGUGCGGACAGAUGUCAACCUGGAAAAUGGCCUGGAACCCGCUGAAACCCACAGAACCCGGAAACCUAAAAUUGUCUGUGCCAUAUCCACCUACUCCCAAUGAUGGAAACAGUAACGCAGCAAGAUCCAGCGUGUGCAAAGUAGAAUUCAGUGUAGCCGUGUGAGU
rnacentral:sRNA from 1 species